CCUACGGGUGGCAGCAGUGGGGAAUAUUGCACAAUGGGGGAAACCCUGAUGCAGCAACGCCGCGUGAAGGAAGACGGUUCUCGGAUUGUAAACUUCUGUUCUUAGUGAAGUAUAAUGACGCUAGCUAAGCAGCAAGUCACGGCUAACUACGUGACAGCAGCCGCGUUAAUACGGAGGAGGCAAGCGUUUUCCGGAAUUACGGGGUGUAAAGGGAGCGCAGGGGGGAAGCCAAGUCAGCUGUGAAAAUUUCGGGCUUAACUUGAAGACUGCAGUUGAAACUGGUUUUCUUGAGUGAAGUAGAGGUUGGCGGAAUUCGGGGUGUAGCGGUGAAAUGCGUAGAUAUUCGGAGGAACACCGAUGGCGAAGGCAGCCAACUGAGCUUUAACUGACGCUGAGGCUCGAAAGUGUGGGUAGCAAACAGGAUUAGAUACCCUGGUAGUC
rnacentral:rRNA from 1 species